GUUCAACGUUAAUCGGAGCAGGGUGAGUCGACCCCUAAGGCGAGGCCGAAAGGCGUAGUCGAUGGGAAACAGGUUAAUAUUCCUGUACUCGGUGUUACUGCGAAGGGGGGACGGAGAAGGCUAUAUCAGCCGGGCGACGGUUGUCCCGGUUUAAGCGUGUAGGCGGAGGGUCCAGGUAAAUCCGGUCCCUUAUCAACGCUGAGGCGUGACGACGAGGCACUACGGUGCUGAAGUGAUAAAUGCCCAGCUUCCAGG
rnacentral:rRNA from 1 species